GGGGAUGUAGCUCAGUGGUAAAGCGUUCGCUUUGCAUGUGAAAGGCCCCGGGUUCGAACCCCGGUAUCUCCA
rnacentral:tRNA from 1 species